rnacentral:rRNA from 1 species
UGGGAAGAUAUUGCACAAUGGGCGCAAGCCUGAUGCAGCAACGCCGCGUGAGUGAUGAAGGCUUUCGAGUCGUAAAGCUCUUUGAUCAGGGACGAUAAUGACGGUACCUGAAAAACCAAGCCACGGCUAACUACGUGCCAGCAGCCGCGGUAAUACGUAGGUGGCGAGCGUUGUCCGGAAUUACUGGGCGUAAAGGAUGCGUAGGUGGAUAUUUAAGUGGGAUGUGAAAUCCCUGGGGCUCAACCCAGGAAUGGCAUUCCAAACUGGAUAUCUGGAGUGCAGGAGAGGAAAGCGGAAUUCCUAGUGUAGCGGUGAAAUGCGUAGAUAUUAGGAGGAACACCAGUGGCGAAGGCGGCUUACUGGACGGUAACUGACGUUGAGGCUCGAAAGCGUGGGGAGCAAACAGGAUUAGAUACC